rnacentral:rRNA from 1 species
UCUGGUAAUGAUGGCAGAGAGGUCACACCCGUUCCCAUACCGAACACGGAAGUUAAGCUCUCUAGCGCCGAUGGUAGUUGGG